UUUUUCCAGUGGAGGACAAGCAGAUAAUUUGAGGGCCAACGAUGGAACAGUAGAUUCUCGCUCCAGCCCUUCAUGCUGGAGGGCAAUGGCAUGAUCUCGCCUCACUACAACCUCCGCUUCUGGGUUCAAGUGAUCCUCCCACCUCAGCCCCCCAAGUAGCUGGGAAUACAGGUUAGCCACCCAGUAGAGCUACUGAGUUCCAUCCUGGUACUGGGGAAUGUCUAUAGAGACUCCUGUGAUGUGAUCCAUCUUCAGAUCUUGCAGCCAUGACUACUAGCACCUGCUCCAGCCGCUACAUUCAGUCAUCCAGUGACCUCAGCAACUUUUCAGUUGAAGAUUCUGCAUCACCAGAUAACAGAACAAACUCAAGAGCUUAUCAACAUGUAUUUCUAAAUUAAUUUAUUUAAGCUGCAAGGUUUUAUUCUACCUAUUUUUCAUGAGCAUUCAGCUAUUAUUAAGCUAAGC
rnacentral:lncRNA from 10 species